UACGUAGGGGGCAAGCGUUGUCCGGAUUUACUGGGCGUAAAGAGCGUGUAGGCGGCCACGCAGGUCCGUUGUGAAAACUCGAGGCUCAACCUCGAGAUGUCGGCGGAAACCAUCUGGCUAGAGUCCGGAAGAGGAAAGUGGAAUUCCUGGUGUAGCGGUGAAAUGCGCAGAUAUCAGGAAGAACACCCGUGGCUAAGGCGGCUCUCUAGUACGGUACUGACGCUGAGACGCGAAAGCGUGGGGAGCGAACAGG
rnacentral:rRNA from 1 species